GGGCAUGGUCUGUGAGGGGCAGAGAGACUCUGGAAAGCGUCCUGGGAUUGCUUCUGUGCGGCAGUUGGGGGCCUUGGGGAGUGGGGGGCCUGUGCUGGUCUGUCUGUAGGAGUCUGUAAGGAGGGCUGUGGGGCUGGUUCUGAGGUGGAAGUGAGGGGUUUUGUGUGCUGAGGGACUGUCUGUGAGGAGGGUUCUGGGGUGGUUUCUGAGGAGAAGGUUUUGGAUCUGCGGGGCUGAGGGUCCUGUGAGUGACUGUAGACCUCUGUGGGGAGAGUUCUGGUGUGGCUUCUGAGGGUUAAAGCAUUGGGUUUGGGGGCUGAGAGGUUGUAGGGGUGUGUGAGCGAGGAGAGACUUUGGGACUCUGGGGCACUGAGGGGCCCGAUCUGAUCCCAGGGGCAUAAGGAGUUUGAUUUCCCCUGUGUUUUUCCCCCAGACCCAUUUGUUCAACCAAUGAAAAUCGAAAUAUACAAGAUGUUUCUGAACCUGGCAAAGUGUCCUUCACAGCACUGAUGUGUUGGACUGCUGGGAUGCUGGCUCUUGCUUUUUUUUUACCGUGGUUUCAGUGAUGGAGUAUGCCACUGCAGCGGAUGGCCCCAGAAGGAAAAAGACCGCAUAAUGAGAUGAAGAAAUCACCAGUUGGCAGUUGGUGUUCCUGCUUCAGCCUGGGAAAUCCAUCCUCUGUGGCUAAAGGCAAACUGCAACGCAAUCCCAGGGAGCCCCUACAAGAAGUCUCAGAAUAUUUCUAACACUCUCAUUAUGGAGGUGAAUCUAAGCAGUUUUGAUCCAGAAGACCCGGGACCAGCAGCGAUGCACUGUGUGCUUCCUUCGAUGGAGAGCUCUUAGGAAGCAUGAAUCGCUGCAGUUCUGAUGACAGCCUUCCACAUGACAACAACAAUGGGGAUAAGGAGCUCAUCCACGUUCCUGCCCUCAUUUCUCCUGGCUCCGCUGAUGAUGUUGACCUGAGCCCGCCAGACAUCACAGUCGCUAGCCUGGAUUGUGACCCAAUGCCUUUCCAGUGCAGCCCACCCCAAGCAGAGCCCAAGUGCCUGAACAGCAGCACCUCCUUGAGGAGCAGGUCGGCAUCGCUGAGGAGAAGCCGAGCUUCUUGGAGGCGGACUUAGAGCCAGGCAGCCAGUCCCAGGCACCAGGCAGCAGCACAAGCUCUGAACUAGUCUCUCAAUUCCCAGAGGAGUCCCUCUUUUACUCUGGAUCUCUCUUGCCCUUCUGUCUUUUAAUGAGUAAAGGCAUACUCAUGUUCAAUCAACACCUUGACUCCGUUCUGGGUCUUCAUUCACAGGGACUGGGUUCAAUAUAAAAAACUGCAAGGCACUUCAGCUUGCAAUGGUAUGGCUUUUGGCUGUGUGCUGCAGAGCUCUGGCUUUGUUCCCACGUUGUAUGGCUUUGGGGUGUCUGCAGGGAGAGAUCUGCUACUGUUUUGUAUGGUAGCAAAUAGCAUCCUGGUUGCUGCUCAUUAAAAUCCCCAGCUUCCUGGCUGCA